rnacentral:lncRNA from 1 species
UUAAAAGGUCUGAUUUAAGCCGACGCUGUUCUACCCUGCCACUCCUAGCCAUAAAUUGGUACUGUGUUUAUAAUAGAAUGAUCAUCUAAAAAUAGGAAUGCAUGGGGAAAUCACGCAGGGAGCAGAGACUUAUAAAAAGGUACACCUAGAAAUAAGGUUACAAGAGGAGGGACACAUCUCUCAUUUGGCUACGAGACAUGCCUGCUGUUGUACAAAUGUGCACUGCCUAUUCCAAGAAGGCAUGUGUGAAAAGAAGGAAAGGAAGGAAGAGUUAGUAUCCUGUGUCUCUUCUAUUCCAAAUUAUGAUGAGAGUGAUCUGGAUGAACUCCUACAAUGUGGCAGCCGUUUGCUUUGUGCUGGAGAUACCAUGACGAACAGCCCACGUUCCUGCCUUCAGGAAACUGAAAGAGAACCAACUCUCAGAACUGCAGCAAGGUUAAGGGCCUUGGCAGCUGUACUGUGCAUUUGGUAUUAUAGUAAUAGUCACAAGACAACCCUCUAGACUGUGUGUGGAGUCAGGCAGAGCUGGGUAUAAAUCCUGGCAUCUGCAACCUUUCUCGGGCAAACUGCCUAACUCUUCUAAAAUCUUACCAGUAAGAUGUGGGUAAGAAAUUCUACCUUGGCCAGGUGCGGUG